rnacentral:rRNA from 1 species
AUUGAACGCUGGCGGCAUGCCUUACACAUGCAAGUCGAACGGCAGCACGGGAGCAAUCCUGGUGGCGAGUGGCGAACGGGUGAGUAAUAUAUCGGAACGUGCCCAGUCGUGGGGGAUAACGCAGCGAAAGCUGUGCUAAUACCGCAUACGAUCUAAGGAUGAAAGCGGGGGAUCGCAAGACCUCGCGCGAUUGGAGCGGCCGAUAUCAGAUUAGCUAGUUGGUGGGGUAAAGGCCCACCAAGGCGACGAUCUGUAGCUGGUCUGAGAGGACGACGAGCCACACUGGAACUGAGAGACGGUCCAGACUCCUACGGGAGGCAGAAGUGGGGAAUUUUGGACAAUGGGCGCAAGCCUGAUCCAGCAAUGCCGCGUGCAGGAUGAAGGCCUUCGGGUUGUAAACUGCUUUUGUACGGAACGAAACGGCCCUUUCUAAUACAGGGGGCUAAUGACGGUACCGUAAGAAUAAGCACCGGCUAACUACGUGCCAGCCGCCGCGGUAACAC